rnacentral:misc_RNA from 1 species
GGUUGCAAUCUUUAAUGUGAUUUUUUUGUUCUCUUGGUAAGUCAAUACUUCACAUCAAAUAUGUCAACAUUCCGUUUACUUUUGAAAGUAAGAAGGUUUUGAUUUUGUGUAUUGGAUUGAACAAAGAUAUUUUUCUCAUCAAAUAUAAGCACUAAUAGUCAUUAUUAAAAAUUAUAGUAAUUUAUUGUUGUUGAGAUUAUAAAUCAAAUUUACUUGGUCCAUUCUAAUAUGCUGUUUGUAUAACAAAAGUUUUUUGAGAUUUCAUAUGACAUGUUGCGAUUUGAUGUACUCAGGGUAAUGAAGGCAUGAAUAAAAUAUGAGGACUCAUGGUUAGUUAUGAAAAUUUGCAGGAAGCAAGGGCCCUUCUUGAAUGGUUAGAAUAUCAAAGAGACAACGUUGAAGGUGCCCUUCGGGUUUUGAUGGCAUUCAUCUACAAGCAACAACAGAAAGAUUACAGCCAUCAUUUCCUUUCUUCUGAACCAUUUUGUUAUUCAUACUUGACAUAUAUUAUACAUGAUUAUGCAAAUUUCAGUAUAUUAAUUUUAAAAACAAAAAUAUUUAUAUUCCACAGCAACACGCGGGUAAUGAUCUAGUGUAUAUAUAUAAAUAUUCUUCAUACAUUGGGAAAUAAACAGACUGUCUUUUUUACCAUUGGUUGCAGACUUGCAGUGAAUAUUGAUCUGUGUUUGAAAUGUAAAUUUACACCAAUCCUGUUUUGAAUUCAAUUCUUGGUUUCUUGGAAAUUUUCAUUGUAUUUGUAGAAUUGCAUUGGGAAACAUCGCAAACCAAGCAUGUCAUUUAUACCUUUUGAUUUUAAAACUACGUAGUUGUAAGUUCAAUGUGUAGAAAGAGGAGCUGGCAUAAGCAUCACAGUAUCUGUAAGCCAAGUGUUGAUUUGAAAGUCAUUUCUGUAGUAAGCCAAGUGUUGAUUUGAAAGUCAUUUCUGUAGUUGUUUUAUUUCUUCCCUUAAAUGCAGCUGUUUAACUUGAUCAAAUGGAGAGCUGUGCAAUGAUAAUUUAUAUUUAUUCAAUUUGUAUGAUGAUUAAUCUAUAUUUGUGAAUGAUAUAAUUAAAAUGGAGAUAUCUAAUUUCAC